GACGAACGCUAGCGGCAGGCCUAAUACAUGCAAGUCGAACGGUAAGGUCCCUUCGGGGAUACACGAGUGGCGCACGGGUGCGUAACGCGUAUGCAACCUACCUUUCAGCGGGGGAAAGUCGAUGGAAACGUUGAAUAAUACCCCAUAUGCUCACGGAAUCGAUUGUUUCUGUGAGGAAAGCUCCGGCGCUGAGAGAUGGGCAUGCGUGAUAUUAGCUAGUUGGUGAGGUAACGGCUCACCAAGGCGACGAUAUCUAGCUGGUCUGAGAGGAUGAUCAGCCACACGGGCACUGAGACACGGGCCCGACUCCUACGGGAGGCAGCAGUAAGGAAUAUUGGGCAAUGGAGGCAACUCUGACCCAGCCAUGCCGCGUGAAGGAAGACGGAUCUUGGUCUGUAAACUUCUUUUAGGUGGGGUUAAUAAGGUUCUAUAUGGACCGAUGCAGGUACCACCUGAAUAAGCACCGGCUAACUACG
rnacentral:rRNA from 1 species